rnacentral:rRNA from 1 species
GUCUACCUCCAUGCCAUUCUCAACACACCUGAUCUCUUCUGAUCUCAGAAGCUAAGCAGGGUCGGGCCUGGUUAGUACUUGGAUGGGAGACCACCUAGGAAUACUGGGUGCUGUAGGCU